AUCCAUCUGACAAGUCCUAAAUAGGACGAAACGCGUGUCAAACUGGAC
rnacentral:hammerhead_ribozyme from 1 species